GGGGGGGGGGCUAGGAUGAAAUUUGAAAAAAAUAGGCAGGACAGGAGUUUUGAGUAAAAAAAAGGCAAGAUGUGACACUUGCAAAAAAAAAAAAGUCAGGACGACAAUUUAGGUAAAAAAAAGUCAGGAUAAACUAAAAAAAAAAAAAGGCAGGACCGAUUAGAGUAAAAAAUAAAAAGGCAGGACAGAGAUUACAGCUAAAAAAAAAUGCAGGACAACAUUUUUCAUCCUAGCCCCCCCAUAAAAAUCAAAUGGUAGCUCCCUAACUAAAA
rnacentral:lncRNA from 1 species